AGUGAACGCUGGCGGUAGGCCUAACACAUGCAAGUCGAACGGCAGCACAGUAAGAGCUUGCUCUUACGGGUGGCGAGUGGCGGACGUGUGAGGAAUACAUCGGAAUCUACUUUUUCGUGGGGGAUAACGUAGGGAAACUUACGCUAAAACCGCAUACGACCUACGGGUGAAAGCAGGGGAUCUUCGGACCUUGCGCGAUUGAAUGCGCCGAUGUCGGAUUAGCUAGUUGGCGGGGUAAAGGCCCACCAAGUCGACGAUCCGUAGCUGGUCUGAGAGGAUGAUCAGCCACACUGGAACUGAGACACGGUCCAGACUCCUAAGGGAGGCAGCAGUGGGGAAUAGUGGACAAUGGGCGCAAGCCUGAUCCAGCCAUACCGCGUGGGUGAAGAAGGCCUUCGGGUUGUAAAGACCUUUUGUUGGGAAAGAAAAGCAGCAGGUUAAUACCCCGCUGUUCUGACGGUACCCAAAGAAUAAGCACCGGCUAACUUCGUG
rnacentral:rRNA from 1 species